CCUACGGGCGGCACCAGUGAGGAAUUUUGCGCAAUGGGGGAAACCCUGACGCAGCAACGCCGCGUGAGUGAAGAAGGCUUUCGGGUCGUAAAGCUCUGUCAGAUAGGAAAAAAGUUCAUUAGUUAAUAGCUUGUGAAUCUGAUGGUACUAUCAGAGGAAGCACCGGCUAACUCCGUGCCAGCAGCCGCGGUAAUACGGAGGGUGCAAGCGUUAUUCGGAAUUAUUGGGCGUAAAG
rnacentral:rRNA from 1 species